GUAGGGUGCAAGCGUUGUCCGGAAUCAUUGGGCGUAAAGCGCGUGUAGGCGGCUUGGUCAGUCAGCUGUGAAAGCCCAGGGCUCAACCCUGGGAUGCCGGUUGAUACUGCCAAGCUCGAGUCCGGAAGAGGAGUGUGGAAUUCCUGGUGUAGCGGUGAAAUGCGCAGAUAUCAGGAGGAACACCAAUGGCGAAGGCAGCACUCUGGGACGUGACUGACGCUGAGACGCGAAAGCGUGGGGAGCAAACAGGAUUAGAUACCCUGGUAGUCCACGCCGUAAACGAUGGGCACUAGGUGUGGGAGGUGUCGACUCCUCCCGUGCCGAAGCUAACGCAUUAAGUGCCCCGCCUGGGGAGUACGGUCGCAAGACUAAA
rnacentral:rRNA from 1 species